UCUUCCAAUAACCCGGACUUCUUACUGCAAAACUGAAUAGAGAAUGGUCCUCUUUUUGAAUAGAGCUGACAAAUAGCUUUGAAAACACUCUUAUUGGUAAUAUAUCUAGUUAUAUAUAUAAGGGUAGGCAUUUGUUAUUUGUACUUUAAAUCUUUAACUCUACCUUCCCUCAUAUUUACUGUAGUAGUAUCCUCAGAAAUAUGAUAGACAACUCUAUGCGAGAGGUGUUUCUCCAUUGCUUUGCAUACUGGAUGGUUUUCUGCAAAAUUGAAUAGAGAAAGAUCCUCCCUUUGGAUAGAGCUGAAAGAUGAAUUAGAUAUAGAUGAUAACUUCUCUGAGGUGAAGUUGGAAAAGUUAACAGACUCAACUGGAGUUCUGUGAUUGAAC
rnacentral:lncRNA from 1 species